rnacentral:lncRNA from 1 species
AUAGCACGCGCGCACUCGUCUCGCCGCGUCCACACCCAUCGGCUCCAACACCGACGAGUAGCUCGGUCGCCGGGGCCGCCGCCGCGCGCGCGCGCCACCGUGUCGCGACUUCCUCCGUGACCGGGCCGAUCGAUCGCGAGGCGCGGCGCGGCGAGGCCGGCAUGGCGGCACCGGGAGAUGGGGAAGAGAAGAAGGCCGGGAGCGGGAGGAACAAGCACGGGUUCCCGCGCGGCUUCCGCUUCGUGCCCCGGGACCAGGAGCUCCUCGACAUCCUCGACGACAAGCUCCGCGGCGCCCCGCUCGACCGCGCGCUCGACGCCGUCUUCCACGACACGCGGAUCCUCGACUUCCACCCCGCCAAGCUCUACGGGAUGUACGCGGAGGACGAGGAGAACGGCUACAUCUACUUCUUCAGCACGAUAGAGUUCAAGGCAGCCAAGCCCAAGCAGAAGAAGUGGCCGCGGCGCGCGGCGCAGGGCGGACGGUGGAAGGCCGUCCUCGGCUCCAGCCAGAUGGUGGAGGUUGGCGGCGUCCCCGUCGGCCGGAAGCUCUCCAUGGAGUUCUACGUCAAGGGGGUCAGGACCAACUGGGGCAUGCACGAGUUCGUCAGGAUCAUCGGCCCCAACAUCGAGGUUGCGGAUCUUGCCGUGUACCGCCUACACAAGCUAUGGACGAACGGCGAGGAGAAGCCGGGAGACCUCGCCGCGGACGUUGCCAAGAGCACGAACCAGAGUGGACAAGCGUCGGCGGCGGACUACUACCAGACUUACCAGAACGCGGUCUCUCAGGCGUAUGCGUAUGCGCCGCCGUACGUCCUCCAGCCAGGAUGGAGCCAAGGGUACCCCUACGAUGUCGCGGCGGCGCCACCGACCGCGCCCUGGCCUGUCUGUUGGGCGCCGCCGUCCGCGCCGGGAUCCUAUGACUGCUGCUACGCGUCCACGUUUUCAAGGCCGCCGCCGCCACCACCAAUUGCUGCGAGCACGCUGGACAAGGCGCCGAUAACCAGUACCGACCACGGCGCAUCAACGAACACUUCGGCGGCGACACCCGUGGCGAACAACAAGCCGCCGCCGCCACCAGUUGCUGCGACAGCGACCACGCUGGGCAAGAAGGGGGAGGGCAAGGGCAAGGCGCCGACGACCACCAGUACCGAUCACGCCGGAUCAACGAACACCUCGGCGCCACCCGCCGCGAACUACCAGCCGCCGCCGACGACGACUACGCCGCCGCUGCAGGGCACGCAGCACGUCUUCGCACCCGGCGUCGUCGUCGGGCAUGAGGACGAGGAGGGCUACCUCAUCGUCGACGAGGUCAACACGUGGCGCAACACGCAGCAGCUCGUGCUCGAGGAUGACGACGACGACGACGACGGCCGUGCCGCCGGCGCCGGUGCAGGUGAGGGUGGCGCUUCAGCCUCAGGGCGGUGACAGUCUGACAUCAGCAGAUUAAGAGAGACCCUGAGGCGUAUCAGUUAAUCAUGCGUGUAGUUACUAGUUAGGCUCCGAUUUGAGCAUUGGAAUUUCCAGAUUUCCCGACUGCUUAGCUUGGUUUUGAUCUGCCCGACAAAUUUCCGCCAAAUUCGUAGUGUUCAACUGAUCAACUUCAUGCUCUUUCUGUCCGUUGGUUAUUACUUUACUUGUUCUACGUGAGAUUGCAAUUCUGAUCUGCAACUGCUUGUAAUCUGGAUGAUCAAUAGCUGCUUCCCUGCUUU